rnacentral:rRNA from 1 species
AGCGAACGCUGGCGGCAGGCUUAACACAUGCAAGUCGAGCGGGCACUUCGGUGUCAGCGGCAGACGGGUGGGUAACACGUGGGAACGUACCCUUUUGUUCGGAAUAACGCUGGGAAACUAGCGCUAAUACCGGAUACGCCCUUUUGGGGAAAGGCUUGCUGCCGCAGGAUCGGCCCUCGUCUGAUUAGCUAGUUGUUGGGGUAAUGGCCGACCAAGGCGACGAUCAGUAGCUGGUCUGAGAGGAUGAUCAGCCACACUGGGACUGAGACACGGCCCAGACUCCUCCGGGAGGCAGCAGUGGGGAAUAUUGGAAAAUGGGCGCAAGCCUGAUCCAGCCAUGCCGCGUGAGUGAUGAAGGCCUUAGGGUUGUAAAGCUCUUUUGUCCGGGACGAUAAUGACGGUACCGGAAGAAUAAGCCCCGGCUAACUUCGUG